AAAAAACCAGUUUUUCAUGUGUAAAUUCAUUUUUUUUUUUUUUUCCAUGUAGUAGUCCAGUUUGAAAUUUUAUAGCUCGGUCUUGGAUCCAUUCCUGGAUCCAUCCCUGCUACGGUUCAAAGAUUGGAUGAGAAGCGACAUUUCUAUACUCUAAUAACAUGUUUAGUACGCUUGAUCGGAUAAAAUUAGAGAAUGGCAGUCAAUAUAAAUGAUUAAUUUGAACUUCUUUAUGCCUAAUGGAAUUUUGUUGUUCAAUUUGUGUAGUGGAGAAAAUGAUCCCCACGGUUGAUGUAGACGAUUGUUCUGAAGGUCUUCCUUGGGUGCAAACCUUUUGCGAUAGAAGCAAAGUUGAUCAAGCCUGCUGGAUCGAGUGUCAAGCGAGCCACGGUCCUGUCGUAAAGGCAGAAUGUAGAAGCUCACCCGGUUUUCCAAGUUCGUUUUGCUAUUGCAUAUGGCCUUGUUAACUUAAAAACAUUUCCUCAAUAAGUUCUCGUGAACUUUCAAUAAAAAGUUUAAUGUCGCUUAAAGAACAAGCUCACCACGCUCGAGAUAAUAUUUGUAACUCUUGUUCUCGACUAUUAGUCUUAUCAAACGAUCCGUUUCACAAUGCAAUGGGUUUUAGAAUAA
rnacentral:lncRNA from 1 species